GACGAACGCUGGCGGCGUGCUUAACACAUGCAAGUCGAACGGGCCCGCCCCUGUUUUUGGGGGUGGGUUGAGUGGCGAACGGGUGAGUAUCACGUGAGUAACCUGCCCCCUGCUCCUGGAUAACUGCUUGAAAGGGCGGCUAAUACGGGGUGUGCCGGCUGGUCCGCAUGGGCCUGGUCGGGAUAGUUUCAUCUUCGGGUGGUUCGGUGGGGGAUGGGCUCGCGGCCUAUCAGCUUGUUGGGGGGGUGAUGGCCCACCAAGGCGGUGACGGGUAGCCGGCCUGGGAGGGUGGGCGGCCACUCUGGGACUGAGCCACGGCCCAGACUCCUGCGGGAGGCAGCAGUGGGGGGUAUUGCACAAUGGGCGGACGCCUGAUGCAGCGCCGUCGCGUGAGGGAUGGAGGCCUUCGGGUUGUGAACCUCUUUCUCCGGUGGUGAAGGCCCUGUCCGUUGCGGCGGGGUUGACGGUAGCCGGGUAUGAAGCGCCGGCUAACUACGUG
rnacentral:rRNA from 1 species